GCCUUCGUGGUGUAAUGGUCAGCACACUGAGCCGGUAUUUCGUAGGUCCGUGGUUCGAUCCCCGGCGAAGGCA
rnacentral:tRNA from 1 species